rnacentral:rRNA from 1 species
AGAGUUUGAUCCUGGCUCAGAUUGAACGCUGGCGGCAUGCCUUACACAUGCAAGUCGAACGGCAGCACGGGAGCAAUCCUGGUGGCGAGUGGCGAACGGGUGAGUAAUAUAUCGGAACGUGCCCAGUCGUGGGGGAUAACGCAGCGAAAGCUGUGCUAAUACCGCAUACGAUCUAUGGAUGAAAGCGGGGGAUCGCAAGACCUCGCGCGAUUGGAGCGGCCGAUGUCAGAUUAGCUAGUUGGUGGGGUAAAGGCCCACCAAGGCGACGAUCUGUAGCUGGUCUGAGAGGACGACCAGCCACACUGGGACUGAGACACGGCCCAGACUCCUACGGGAGGCAGCAGUGGGGAAUUUUGGACAAUGGGCGCAAGCCUGAUCCAGCAAUGCCGCGUGCAGGA